GGGUUUAUAGCCCAGUGGUAGGGCAUUCGACUGCAGAUCGAGAAGUCUCCGGUUCAAACCCGGAUGUCCUCU